GAUGAACGCUGGCGGCGUGCCUAAUACAUGCAAGUCGAGCGAACAGACGAGGAGCUUGCUCCUCUGACGUUAGCGGCGGACGGGUGAGUAACACGUGGAUAACCUACCUAUAAGACGGGGAUAACUUCGGGAAACCGGAGCUAAUACCGGAUAAUAUAUUGAACCGCAUGGUUCAAUAGUGAAAGACGGUUUUGCUGUCACUUAUAGAUGGAUCCGCGCCGCAUUAGCUAGUUGGUAAGGUAACGGCUUACCAAGGCGACGAUGCGUAGCCGACCUGAGAGAGUGAUCGGCCCCACUGGAACUGGACCACGGUCCAGACUCCUACGGGAGGAAGCAGUAGGGAAUCUUCCGCAAUGGGCGAAAGCCUGACGGAGCAACGCCGCGUGGGUGAUGAGGGUCUUCGGUUCGUAAACCUCUGUUAUUAGGGAAGAACAAAUGUGUAUGUAACUACGCACGUCUUGACGGUACCUAAUCAGAAAGCCACGGCUAACUACGUG
rnacentral:rRNA from 1 species